UCCCGGCGGCGCCUGAUUGAUUGACAGUUGUCCAUCGCCCCCAGGAGACAGCGACCCGCUGCGCUUCCGCCCCGAGCCCGGCAACAUGGCGGGGGAGGAAGAGGAGGAGGAGGAGGGGCCGCACGCGACGAAGGCCCCGGGGCUGGGCGGGGGGCGGCGCUACGUGCCCCCGCGCCUCGUGCCCGUGCAGUACGGUAAGGCUAAUCCCCCAUAAUCCCUCCUUAAUCCCCCAUAAUCCCUCAAUAAUCCUUCAUUUUCCCCCCAAUCCCCCUUAAUUUUUUCCAAUUCCUCCUUAAUCUCCCUAUUUUCCCCUUAAAUGCACCAAAAUCCCCUCAUAACGCCACUGUUUCCCCCCAUUCUUGCUGUAAACCUCCAUAAUCCCACAAUUUCCCCCAUAAUCCCCCCAUAAAUCCCUAUAAUUUCCCCCAAUCCCUCCUAAAUCCCCCAUAUUCCCUGCAUAUUUUCCCUAAAUCCCCCCCAAUGCCUCCGUAAUUCUUCCAAAAUCCCCUAUAAUCCUUCUGUAAUUGUUUUCCCAUUAAAUACCCCCAAAUCUCUCCAAAAUCCCCCCAUUUUAUACCCUAACUCUCCCUAAUGCUCUAUAAUCCUCCAUAAUCCCCUAUAAUGUUCUCAUUUUCCUGCUAAAUACCCCGUAAUCCCCCACGAUCCCUCCUAAAUCCUCCUAACACCCCCUAAUCCCCCAUAAUUCCUCUAUAAUUCCCUCAUUUUCCCCCUAAUCCCUCCAUAAUCCCCCUAAUCCCUUAUAAAACCUCCCAAUCUUUCCCCCCCAUAUCCUACAUAAUCCCGCCAUUUCUCCCCCUACUCCCUUACAAUCAACCGUAAUCCUCCCGUAAUCCAACAUGAUGUCCCCUGAUCUCCUUAAUCCCUCUUAAUCCUGUCUUAAUCUCCUUAAUUUUUUCCAAAUUCCCUAUAAUCCCUCGAUAAUCCGUUCGUUUUCCCCCUAAAUCUCCCUAAUCUCUCCGUAAUUCCCGUUUCCCUCACUUUCCCUCCUAAUCCUCCCAUAAUCCUGCCUAAUCCCUCUUUAAUCCCCCAUAAUCCCGCCUAAUCCCUCUUUAAUCCCCCAUAAUCCCGCCAUAUAAUUCCCCCAUUUUUCCCCC
rnacentral:lncRNA from 1 species